rnacentral:misc_RNA from 1 species
UUAAGUUCAGCGGGUAGUCUCACCCGAUUUGAGGUCAAGGUUCGUGGGUCGAGCAAGCUCGAACAAUGUCUUCCAUGAGACGGUUAGAAGCAGGUUCCCAAGGAGCAGAGCAAAUCCCAAGACGUAGAAACAUCUUAUCGCGCCUGGGGAUCGGCAAAGGGGACCUCACUAAUGCAUUCAAGAGGAGCUGGCUUUUCACA